GGAUGUGAGAGCAAUCUGGUUAUGACAUUUGUUACCCCUAGUCCCCUGGGUUGACUUCACUGAUCUGGCUGCCUAUGCUGGUGUCCCAUUUCUCCUUCACGCAUCCAUGUGCGUCCCUCCUGAAGCUGAAAUCUUCCUCAAAUAGGACAACCUUCUCCGAAUAGAGACAGACCAGUCUUGAAGGUAUACUAGUAGCUGCACUCCCCUGCUAGAAAUUCCAGACAAACUCUCAAGGUAAUGAAAGACAGUAAAAACGUAUAAGUUUUGUUUUAGGAGUAGAUUCACAGAACGGCCAUCAUGAUCC
ensembl:misc_RNA 7SK 7SK RNA